rnacentral:rRNA from 1 species
GAGUUUGAUCGUGGCUCAGGACGAACGCUGGCGGCGUGCUUAACACAUGCAAGUCGAACGAUGAACCACUUCGGUGGGGAUUAGUGGCGAACGGGUGAGUAACACGUGGGCAAUCUGCCCUUCACUCUGGGACAAGCCCUGGAAACGGGGUCUAAUACCGGAUAACACUCUUACGGGCAUCUGUGAGGGUUAAAAGCUCCGGCGGUGAAGGAUGAGCCCGCGGCCUAUCAGCUUGUUGGUGAGGUAACGGCUCACCAAGGCGACGACGGGUAGCCGGCCUGAGAGGGCGACCGGCCACACUGGGACUGAGACACGGCCCAGACUCCUACGGGAGGCAGCAGUGGGGAAUAUUGCACAAUGGGCGAAAGCCUGAUGCAGCGACGCCGCGUGAGGGAUGACGGCCUCGGUU